AAACCCUAGAUGUAUGCAUGAGAGAAAAUGUGAGUACCAAAGUGAGCAAAAGAACAGAGUGACACUGUGACAUAGAUCGAGUGGCAUCUAAAUAAUGUAAAGUAAAGUGACACUAGAGUUAGUGUGAAGCAAAGAAUCGAAGUGAUAUAAAGAAUGUGAUUGCUAGAGUUAGCAAAAGUAAAGGAAAUGCAAAGAGCAAUGAUUGCUAGAGUGGCAACAUAAAGUGAUGUAAUGAACACUAGAGCUAGUGUAAAGUCAAGAUUGAACUUAUAAAUCCUUUGAGUUAAGGAUACGAUCAUACUUGCUAUGAGUUCCGUGCUCGAGGGCGGUCGCUCCCCCUCGGGCGAUGCGCUCCGGAGUUAUGCAUCCGGGUUGGAGUAGACCCGUAAGGACGGUCCUAGCGGGUGAGUUCCUGCGAUGAUGGACUUAAUGUGAAGCAAGUUAAUGUGGCGAAACCCCCGGGUUAGCCUUGAGAUUAAAGAACAAAGAACAAAGACCAAAGAGCAA
rnacentral:lncRNA from 1 species